AAUAACAGGGGUGCUUAGGCUGAGAGUAUUUUUACAACCCUUUAACCUGAUCUAGGUAAUGCUAGCGUAGGUAUAUUUCUUAA
rnacentral:ncRNA from 1 species